UUUCCCUCAGGACAGCUGGCACUCGUGGUGGGGCAGUUUGACCCUGUAAAGUGAAUGAUUAGAGGUCUUAUGGCCACAACGAUCUCAGUCUAUUCUCAAACUUCUAAAUGCAGAGGAUUUUUUUCUUUUUAAAUCACAAAAUAACGCCA
rnacentral:ncRNA from 1 species